rnacentral:rRNA from 1 species
GACGAACGCUGGCGGCAAGCUUAACACAUGCAAGUCGAACGCCGUAGCAAUACGGAGUGGCAGACGGGUGAGUAACACGUGGGAACGUGCCUUUCGGUUCGGAACAACUGAGGGAAACUUCAGCUAAAACCGGAUACGCCCUUCGGGGGUAAGUUUACGCCGAAAGAUCGGCCCGCGUCAGAUUAGGUAGUUGGCGGGGUAAUGGCCCACCAAGCCGAUGAUCUGUAGCUGUUCUGAGAGGAAGAUCAGCCACACUGGGACUGCGACACGGCCCAGACUCCUACGGGAGGCAGCAGGGGGGAAUAUUGGACAAGGGGCGCAAGCCUGAUCCAGCUAUGCCGCGUGGAUGAAGAAGGCCUUCGGGUUGUAAAGUCCUUUCGGCGGGGAAGAUAAUGACGGUACCCGCAGAAGAAGCCCCGGCUAAUUUCGUGCCAGCCGCCGCAGUAAUAC